rnacentral:sRNA from 1 species
AUCACAAUACAGAUCUGUGUCGAGCGAUCCCGACACCUGGCAACAGGUUGUUCGGUUGAUUGCUCGACAGUUCGACAACCUAUGGAGCCGCCAACAUUCUUAUGGUGUCAAUCUUCCAGUCGACAGAUCUCAGACUAACAGGAUUCUCUGGCCUGAGCUCCCUUCGGGUGAGCUCGGCCAGCGGAUUGCUGGGGCGUCAUAUUCCUAAAGCUUCGCUCGAGACCGUCGGUCUGUGAAGCGGAGACAAACCAUUUCUGCCUACAUGC